rnacentral:rRNA from 1 species
GUAACGCGUGGGCAACCUAACCCUGUACAGGGGAAUAACAAUGGGAAACCAUUGCUAAUACCUCAUAAUACCUUUUAGGGGCAUCCCUUAAAGGUCAAAGAAUUUCGGUAUAGGAUGGGCCCGCGUCGCAUUAGCUAGUUGGUAAGGUAAUGGCUUACCAAGGCAACGAUGCGUAGCCGGCCUGAGAGGGUGAACGGCCACACUGGAACUGAGACACGGUCCAGACUCCUACGGGAGGCAGCAGUGGGGAAUAUUGCACAAUGGGGAAACCCUGAUGCAGCAACGCCGCGUGAGCGAUGGAAGGCGUUUCGGGUCGUAAAGCUCUGUCCGUAAGGGAAGAUAAUGACGGUACCUUAGGAGGAAGCCCCGGCUAACUACGUGCCAGCAGCGGC